rnacentral:piRNA from 1 species
GCGGGUGAAGAUUCUGUUCAACAA